CUGUAUGCAUCGCUGAAUUCCGAAAGGAAGCGGGGGACCCAACCAUUGGGGUGAAUCCCGUUCAGCUGCCGGCAACCCUGCGGACACCAACCGGCAGCUAACGGGUAGGGCUAAUUCCUUCGGCCCGAAUCCGUCAGCUAACCUCGCAAGCGUUGAAAGGAAGGAUAA
rnacentral:sRNA from 17 species